UACGUAGGGGGCAAGCGUUAUCCGGAUUUACUGGGUGUAAAGGGAGCGUAGACGGCCAUUCAAGCCAGAUGUGAAAGCCCGGGGCUCAACCCCGGGACUGCAUUUGGAACUACCGGGCUGGAGUGCCGGAGAGGUAGGCGGAAUUCCUAGUGUAGCGGUGAAAUGCGUAGAUAUUAGGAGGAACACCAGUGGCGAAGGCGGCCUACUGGACGGUGACUGACGCUGAGGCUCGAGAGCGUGGGGAGCAAACAGG
rnacentral:rRNA from 1 species